ACCCACUAGGGAAGCCCUUUUGUGCUUACAAUGGUACACAGUACAGUGAAUCAGUGAGACAUAGCUCUUUCCCUUCACAUGGACCUUGUACAUAAUUUCUUGGACGUGACUGGAGAGACUCCCAGGCAAUCAGACCUGAAAUUAGCGGUGACUCAGAGGACUCAGGGAUGCCACAGUCGCCUUGGGAAGGAGGAAAAAUGCGCAGACUUUCCCCCUAGCCCGAGGGCCUGACGUGCCGGGGCUGGGCCAAUCACGGGAGGUUGGCGGGAAUCGCACCAAAGUAGGUAAAAAAAUGCGG